AUGAGGGAUCAAGAAACGGAUAGGGAGGGGAAUGGCCUUUCCAUUAUUGGUGGACCAUCCCUUGAAUUGAACCGGUCACGGAGCUCUCCAUUGAGUUGUUUAGGUUCUGGAAUUCCAUCUCUAGUUGGGGGUUUAAGUUCGAAGGUUAUCAAAUGUGGUGCGGGUUCAUCUCUCUCGACCAGUUCAGGUUCAAGGGAAGGGUUAUCGAGGGGACCCAGACUUUAG